rnacentral:sRNA from 1 species
GAUCCCGGAGGUCAACAUCCGACAGCGCAGAGCGCCCUCGGGUGCUGUUUUG